rnacentral:lncRNA from 1 species
AACUUUAUCUCUAACCCCACCCUGGCCUGCUUUCCCUCGCCUGCCACUCGGGACGUGGAGGAAGACAGGCUUCACGGUGACCCUGAAGGAAACACACCUCAGUCCUCCCCCGCCCCUCCGCCCCGCCUCCCGGCCCUUGAUCGACUCCGGGAGCCAGGCCUCCAGGCUGUGGAGGUUCUUUGGAGGUGUUGCCAGGACAAUGGAUGUGCCCAGGUUGGAGAUCUACUGACCGGGAGCGCGGUGCGAGGACUGCUGGUUAUCUAGAGCCCUCUGCUUACCCAGCCAGGCUCCUCCCUUCUGCUUCAGGUCACAGAGAGCAGCCUGGGCAAAUCCUUAGAGUGGGAACCUGUUGGGGCCAUCUGCUUCUUCUGUAAGUGACUUCUUCCUGAAAUAAAUUAUAUUUAAUAUUUGAACCUAGUCCUGUG